UCCUGAUAGGAUUAGGUUACUAAACCCCCCCAGUCCUGAUAGGAUUAGGUAACUAAACCCCCCCAGUCCUGAUAGGAUUAGGUAACUAAACCCCCCCAGUCCUGAGAGGAUUAGGGAACUAAACCCCCC